UGAGGAAUAUUGGACAAUGGGGGCAACCCUGAUCCAGCCAUGCCGCGUGAGUGAUGAAGGCCUUCGGGUUGUAAAGCUCUUUUACCCCUGACGAUAAUGACGGUAAGGGGAGAAAAAGCCACGGCUAACUUCGUGCCAGCAGCCGCGGUAAUACGAAGGUGGCAAGCGUUGUUCGGAUUUACUGGGCGUAAAGAGUGCGUAGGCGGUUUAACAAGUCAGGAGUGAAAGCCCAAGGCUCAACCUUGGAAUUGCUUUUGAAACUGUUUUACUUGAAUCCGGUAGAGGUUGGCGGAAUUCCGAGUGUAGAGGUGAAAUUCGCAGAUAUUCGGAGGAACACCAGUGGCGUAAGCGGCCAACUGGACCGGUAUUGACGCUGAGGCACGAAAGCGUGGGUAGCAAA
rnacentral:rRNA from 1 species